GCAGCACUGGUGUAGAUGGGUGUCAAAAUCUCACUACAGGCUGGUACAGACAGUGGAUGGACCAAACAAACCACAACCCAAUUCACCCCAACUUAAGGUCUACAGUGUACUGUAGUGCUAUUGCCUCAGGUGGCGCUGACGAGUGGGACUUUGGAUGGCUGAUGUUUAAGACCGCCACCAUCGGAAUAGAAGCUGAUAAACUCAUGUCAGCCCUGGCUUGUGCAAAAGAUACCACACUUUUAGAAAGGUACCUUGGAUACACGCUUGACGCAUCA